rnacentral:lncRNA from 1 species
AGCGAACAAUAUUUGCAUAUAUGACAUACGCAUCUGGAUAGGUGUUUAUGAAUUUGGCGCGUUUAAUUUGGAAACCAUAUUGAAACUGUAUUUCAAGGAACCGGGAAGGGGAUUAUCAUCGAUGGUAAGUAAAAGUCAUUUCGGCUAUUAAGUUGCUUAGUUGUUUGACCUACGGAACCCAAUUAAAAGAUUUGUGUUGGAAUGACUGCAAAUUUAUGCAGAAAAAGAAGCUCAAAAGAAGUGUGCUUGUAUUACAAAAAUCAUGCAGCGAUUCUUUACUGGGGAAAACGUCUAGGGUAAAAUGUACAUAAACACUUCAUGACAUGCAUGUGAAGCUUACUAAAUUGGGAGUUCUUGUUAUAUAUAUAUAUAUAAGUUAAAUCGUCUGUUGCUUUCAAUUAGUAUUUGUGGGUAUUUUGUGUUUUGUUUAAAUGUAUUCGCAUGUGUAGUCAAUCUAUUGAAUAUUAAACACAUGGCACACACAUUCAAUGCAAUCUGAAUAUUCAACGUUCAUUGGAGAUCUGAACAUUUAUUGUGAAACGUAUCAAGGAUUUACGCAUGUGAAAGAUGUUUAUGGUAAUAUUCUGAAGUCAAUAAAAUUUCGAAAUGCAAAAAGCAAUAUUUAGCUCUUCAUUGCCGAUGAACUAGUGAAUAAAUAUGAGUUUUGAUUAAUAUAAACAAAAAAUAUGUUGAAAAGAUAGCUAUCAAAUUUUAGAAAAAAAAGAUUAAAAAGAAAUGGAAAAAAAUAAUUAAGAAAGAGAAAAAAUACCCUUGCCACAAUGCUAGAAUUUUAAAUACAACAAUAUAAAGGGAUCAAGCAGUACUCCAACGUUAGCAGUUUGUUGGUAAAUAAUAUCAUUAAAUUAAGAUUAUCAAUAAUGACAACACAAAUUCAAAUUAAGUUCUAUAGUUUUGUAUUAUCCAUAGAAUUAACAAAUGAUCAUCUUUGCAUUGAUUAAUUCUUACCAUUUUGCAUUGAAUCACAAGCAUUUGUUUUAAUUAGUAUUAUUUUCAUUUCUUUGGAAUAUGUUAUCUAUACGCGCUUUCAUUGAACCAAUCUUUAUCUACUGUCUGUAAAUAUACAGUAAAUCUCUUGUUUUCAGAUAAAAAGUUAACAAAACAAUUAUAAUGUAUCUAUUUUUACAUACAUAUCCGGCUCCAGGCAAUGUUUCAUGUUUCAUAAUAUUAACUUAAUAUAUAAAUAUUGUAUCAUCAUUGAUCCUGUCGUCGCUUCAAAUUUAGAUAUUCUAUAUUAAGACGAUUGGUCAUUAAACCGUUUUCUAUUGAAAUAUUAGUUAUUAUCUAUAAUUAUACCUUCUUUCGGAUAAAUAUUUUCCCUGCAGUUUUGGAUCAUGUUUCAUCGUUUAAAAAAAAGUAAUUCGAUAUUAGAAAAGAAGUCACGGAAAUGUUUAUUUGAUACAUUCAUUAAGUUGUUUAUUCUAACAUGUUUCACAAUUAAUGAUUUAACUUGGAAAAAUUAAUUAAGAUAUCAAGAUCCCUGCAGCACGCCUUUGUCUAUCCCGUUCUAUUAAAUAUACCAACAAACCCUUGUCUAAUAAGGUUAACAAAUGUUGAAAACUAUUACAAAUGGUUGAAAGGUUUAGCGUUAUAAAACAAUCCACCAUAUUCUACAUUUAAAAAUUCCUGUACCAAGUCAGGAAUAUGACAGUUGUUGUCCAUUCGUUUGAUUUUGUCAUGUGAUUGGGGACUUUCCGAUUGAAUUUUACUCGGAGUUCAAUAUUUUUUUGAUUUUAUUAUUUUUUAUACCAUUUCUUAGAUAUCGUAAAUACUUUUACCGUGUGUUAUAAAAACAAAAGAAGUAAUAUAUAUGUUGUCUAUAGAUUUACGACCAAAAGCCAUUUUAUUAAACAUCAAUAUGUAUCCUAUUUUAUUCCAAAACAUAAAUUUGGAGAUUUUCUUAUGAAUAUCAUUAUUGGACAUGGACUUAUAAUUAUAAAUGGUAUUGUACCUAAAAGAAAUUAUUUAUUAUUAAAUUCUUUACCAUAUUUUCGUUUACUAUUUACUGAUUAAAGGUAUGAAAUUUGAUAUUCUGCAAUGUUUAGCGAAUUUUAUGUUGAUGCUGCUCCGCUAUGUUUGCUCUAAGAUAUGAAAAACAAUUCCAAAAAUGUCAUUAUACAAAUAGAACGAGGAACCACAAUACAAGAAAUACAAGAUAAAUUGAAAUUAAUCCAGUUUUAUAAACCUUCGAUAGGGACACAUAAAUAACUGAUAUUUGUCGUACAAAAGAAACUAGGAAUUGUAGUAAUUCUGUUACAAAAAGGAUAACCGCUAAGUUAAACUUAAAAUUUUACAACAAUUAGUUACACAUGACUCUAUAUUAUGAAAAUAUUUUAAAACUUUCAAUUCAAUCUUACUUUUAAAUGCACGUUUAAACAUUUGUCAGUAUGGCCAGUGACAAUUUAUAUUAAACAUGCAUCAGCUAUACCUGAAAGACUGUUUAAUAAAUAAUCCACCAUACUUUAUUUAAGCUAACACUUCCCUGUUAUGGGAAAGAAAAACAUGUAAAAAUUAUAAUGUAUAUUUAUAAAUAAAAUAGAUCAAUGUAUUCUACACAUUACAAAAAAAAUUUCAACUCUAAAAGUAUUUGAUUUAUAAUACACAAUAUAAUUCGCGCUGUCAGCAUGGUCAGGUAAAUCAAUAGUGUACUAUUAAAUAAAGAUGCUAUAUUAACUUUGCUUUGAAUUUUGACAUUCUUGUAUUGAAAAGAUAUAAGAAGAUGUGGUAUGCGUUUUGAUGAUACAACUCUCCAUUAUUCUACAUUAUAAAGAAGUCAAAUAAAAGUACUAUAUGAUUAAAAUUAAAAGGUUUCACUUAUCAUUUUCACACAACUUUCAAUGUCACAAAAUCCGGUGACAGAUACAAACUUGAAAAUUGGUGCAUUCUAUUUUAAAUGUUUUAUCUAUAUAUUAAGAUCAAUACUUAAAAUUGGUAGACAUAGACGUUAAAUGCUUAUACUUUUACUGUCUGUUAUAAGAACGAAAGAAGUAAUGCAUAAUGCUGUUGCUUUCAGGUUUACUAACAAAAGCUAUUUUUUCAACAAAAAUAUGUACGCUGUUAUUUUCGAAAACAUAAAUUUGGAGAGUUUCUGAUAUAAUUUUUGGACAUGGACUUAUAAUUAUAACAGACAUUAUUUAUUAUAAAAUUCCUCACCAUAUUUUUGUUUACUAUUUACUGAUUAAAAGUAUGAAAUUUGAUAUUCAGCAAUGUUUUAGCGAAUUCUAUUUUGAUGCUGCUAACGCUAUGUCUGCUCUAAAAUAUAUGAAAAACAUCUCUAAAAUGUCAUUAUACAAAACACGACAAGAAACUUUGAUACAAAAAAUACAAGUUGAAGUGAAAUUAAACCAGGGCCAUACACACACAAGAUAUUCUCCCUUAAAAACGAAUCUAGAUAGUAGUUUAGUUACAAAAAAGAAAACCACUAACUUAAAAUUUUACAGUAACAAUUUGUCAAUUGCACAUGACACUUCUCUAUAUGAUGAAAAGAUUAUAAAAGUUUAAACCCGAUCUUACUGUUUAAUGCACUUUUUAACAUUGGUCAAUAUGACCAGUGACAAUUCAUAUAAAACAUGCAUCAGCUAUACCUGACAUACUGUUUAAUAAAUAAUCCACCAUACUAUAUUCAAAUUAACUCUUCCCUGUUAUGGGAAAGAAAAACAUGUAAAAAAUCAUAAUCUAUAUUUAUAAAUAGAAAAGAACAAUGUAUUCAAUGUAUUCUACACGUUAAUACACACAUAACUUUCAACUCUAAAAGUAUGUAAUUUAAACUGCACAAUGUAAUUCAAUUGUGUACAUACAUAUAUACAUAUAUAUUAAAUAAAGAUGAUUUAUCAACUUUGCUUAAUAUUUGGAUAUUCUUGUAUUGAAAAGAUAUAAGAAGAUGUGGUAUGCGUUUUAAUGAGACAAUUCUCCAUUAUUCUACAUUAUAAAGAAGUCAAAUAGAAAUACAAUAUGAUUAAAAUUAAAAGAUUUCACUUUCACACAACUUUCAAUGUAGUGAAAUCCGGUGACAGAUACAUACUUAGGAAUUGUUGCAAAUUAUUUUAAAUUUUUUAUUUAUAAAUACUUUAAUUGUAUUUGGAGAAGACGUUACUAAGUUGUAAAACUUGUGUCUGAUCCUUUUGUCAUUUUGAACAAUAAAAUAUGUUUAAACUAAACUAAACUUUAAUUGUUAGACAUAGACGUUACAUGCUUAUGUUUGUUUUUCCAUGAAGUUGUCAUUUUAUUUUUCGAUGUACAAGUUUACAUGUCCCUUAACUAGUACCUUUCUCUUAUCUUUUAAUGCUACAUCAAUAAGGCAAUAUGAUGAACUAAACGUUAUCUUUAUUUGACCGAAAAACAAAUAUGUAACAAAUACACAAACGACUACCACUGAAUUACAGGCUCCUGACUUAGGACAGGCACAUACAUCUGCAUGUACUAGCUAUACGACGCACACAUAUUAAACGCUUUUUAGUGUAUUCUUGUAGAAUUUUUAAAUUAACAUUUCAGGCAAGAAAAGUAGCUUCCCGAUGGCUGCAAGAUAGCAUUAGACAUGUAAGACUUGGAAAUACAAGACCUGUACCAAUAAACAACAAUUAUCAACUGGGAAAUACUAUGCCAUGGACAGAAGCCUGUGUUAUGUUGAUAAGGGGAUGUAUAGAAGUACCCUUAAAGCAUGCUUUAAGUAGGACUAGAAUGUACUGACUAAAGUGUGUAUUUCCAGUAUCUUGAAAUAAUCAGUCAAAAUAUCAAUGUGUCAUGUUAGAAGGAAGUCUAACAUUCUAAGUUACAUACACGAGGAAGAUAUUCUUUAUUUGAUUAUUUAAUGUGUCUGGG